UACGUAGGGUGCGAGCGUUUGUCCGGAUUUAUUGGGCGUAAAGAGCUCGUAGGCGGUUUGUCGCGUCGGCCGUGAAAUCUCCACGCUUAACGUGGAGCGUGCGGUCGAUACGGGCAGACUUGGAGUUCGGUAGGGAGGACUGGAAGUUCCUGGUGUAGCGGUGAAAUGCGCAGAUAUCAGGAGGAACACCGAUGGCGAAGGCAGGUCUCUGGGCAUUAACUGACGCUGAGGAGCGAAAGCAUGGGGAGCGAACAGG
rnacentral:rRNA from 1 species